AACGAACGCUGGCGGCAGGCUUAACACAUGCAAGUCGAACGCCCCGCAAGGGGAGUGGCAGACGGGUGAGUAACGCGUGGGAAUCUACCCAGUUCUACGGAAUAACCCAGGGAAACUUGGACUAAUACCGUAUACGCCCUACGGGGGAAAGAUUUAUCGGAAUUGGAUGAGCCCGCGUUGGAUUAGCUAGUUGGUGGGGUAAUGGCCUACCAAGGCGACGAUCCAUAGUUGGUCUGAGAGGAUGAUCAUCCACACUGGGACUGAGACACGGCCCAGACUCCUGCGGGAGACAGCAGUGGGGAAUAUUGGACAAUGGGCGCAAGCCUGAUCCAGCCAUGCCGCGUGAGUGAUGAAGGCCUUAGGGUUGUAAAGCUCUUUCAGUGGGGAAGAUAAUGACGUUACCCACAGAAGAAGCCCCGGCUAACUUCGUGCCAGCAGCCGCCGUAACAC
rnacentral:rRNA from 1 species